AGCGAACGCUGGCGGCGUGCUUAACACAUGCAAGUCGAGCGAGAAAGGGGGCUUCGGCCCCUGAGUACAGCGGCGAACGGGUGCGUAAUACAUGAGCAAUCUACCCUUGAGGCGGGAAUAACCCAGCGAAAGUUGGGCUAAUACCGGAUAAGACCACAAGAGGAGACCCUUGAGGCUAAAGGCAGCUCUCUUUUGGGGGCGGCCCUUUGAGGAGGAGCUCAUGUCCUANCAGCUAGUUGGUAGGGUAACGGCCUACCAAGGCGAAGACGGGUAGCUGGUCUUAGAGGAUGAUCAGCCACACGGGGACUGAGACACGGCCCCGACUCCGUACGGGAGGCAGCAGUGGGGAAUAUUGGGCAAUGGGCGAAAGCCUGACCCAGCGACGCCGC
rnacentral:rRNA from 1 species